CCCUUCCCUUCAGCAGUUCCCAGCUCCUCACUUGCCCAGUAACACCAUAAAGCUUCAGAUGAGUUUGGGCUGUGUGUGAGGGCUAGAGUUGCCUGCAGCUCCCCUGCCCUUUAGCCCAGCCAUGUGUGUAACCUGCACACCCCUCACUGCUCACACUCCUGGGGAUUUGGCACUGAGGUGAUGCAGGAUACAUCCCUGAGUCUGGUUUGCAUGGGCGCCCCGGCCAUCUUCCCACACUGGGUAACUACCUUCUGUCUCCCCAAAUUCCCCCUGCAGUUUCAAGUGGAUGUGGGAUUCUCCUUCUCUUCCAGUCUUAGUCUGCUGUGUAGCGUUGCUGCGUGCUGCUCUGCCGCUGCUGCCUUCCAGCCCAGAGCAUUGCAGUGGUGGGUGAGUGAGUCCUGCUUUUGUACCUAGCUCUGAAGUGCUUUGGGGCCCUGCAGGGCGCUCUGGAGCUGUGGCUAGGGCAUGUCAGGCUGAGGGGCUGGCUGGGGUAAGCUGGGCAGACCCCAGGCUGGUGGUGAUUCACCAGCAGGUCCCUUCAGAAGGCAUAUCUCUCCUCUCUGCUUUCUCCCAGCAGCUGGUGAGGAACACAUUGCUGGAGUGCCACUUACACCCACUGCCAUGCCACAUGCUGGUUGCUGCUUCUCUCCCCGCUCCCUUGUGGGUUUUCCUGGUGAGACGUCCCUGGGGAUGGGAAGAAGAAACCAAGUGCUGCCAUUGGCUGCUGCAGCCACAGGCUCCCACGAGACAUCAGCCAUGAGUGGACUGCCAGCAGCAGGUGAAGAUGCAUCAGACACAAGCCUGCAUGGGUCAGGCAUGGCAGGCUUGCUCCAGAAUGUGCAGCAACUGCUGGUGCAGAUCCUGCAGACAUCACGGCAGCAGCAGGCACUACUGGAGAGUCUGGCCAGUGACACAGUCUCCCACCUCCACCAUAUCUCCCACAGCCUUGUGCAGGUGGGCGAGACCCUGCACCAACUCCUGCUCCGACCACAUCCUGGCCCCAUUGGCCACUAUGUCCCCCACAUGCCCCUUUUUGAGGGUGGCUCUUGCUCCUGUGGUGCUCCUCACACUUUCCUGGACCACAAAGAGGAGCCUCAGCUGUCCUGUGAUGCCAGGUGCAUCCCACCCUGAGUGCCACCAUCACUGGCCCCAGGAUUUGGUACAGAGCUUAGCACAAAUCUUUAUGUCAGAGGUUCCAGAUAUUUUGAAAGUUUAUACUAGAGAGACAUUUUGAUGAAAUUAAAAAUAGCUUUUCUACCAGUGAUGGCAACUGACCAAUUCUUUCCCCCUCUCUGGGGAAUGUUCCCCUUCUCACUUUCGAGAUGAGCAUGAGGGGAACUCAGCUGUUUACAGACUUAGAGAAAGUCCCAACCCACACAGCAAGGGACAGAUGUACUUUUCCUACCCUGUGGUGGUCAUCACACCUUCCUGGGAGAUGCUGGGCUGUGGAGCAGAGCAGGGCCACUGCCAGGAGUGGAGGCCAGGAAGCCCAGGCUGCAUCUUUCUCCAAAGGAAGAGGCUGAGGUGGAUGAUGCUGCAGUGUGUGCAGCAGCCACAGUCCCUCGGUGUCCAGGUCCUUGGCAGGGAUCUUCCAGGGAACAAUCUGGGACUUUCACACCCAGUACUGUGAGCUUGCCACACUUCUGGUGAGGCCCUUGUGCUCCAUGAGAGAUCCUCCUGCUUCAGUACAUGGAUCAUCAUCAGGUAACAGUAGCUGCAGAAAUACCAUGGCAUGUGCCUAAAGAAGAGACCUCUGACUUGCCUGGACCCCACCACAUCCUCCGUGGGGAUGGGGCAAUGUGCUGUCUGCCUCCAGAAUCUCUGCCACAUCCAAGGAGUGGAAAUGUACAUCGUGUAGACAUCAUGAAAGUGGUCCUGCCAUGCCAGAUGCUGUGUGCUGGAAGUGUGG
ensembl:lncRNA